AUGCCGACGGUCGUCGAGAGGUUCAUGGACUGGACGGUGUCGUGGUUGCCGUUGUAUGGAGAGGCGAAGCUGCUGCUCGUCAUCUAUCUCUGGCUCCCUAGCACAUGGGGUGCGGGGCACGUGUACGAUGGCUUCCUCCAUCCGCUGGUGGCGUGGCACGAGGCCGACAUCGACCUGAGCCUGCUUGAGCUGAGGGCUAGGGAGAGGGACGUGACGGUGUCACAACUCAAGGCGGCGGCGGUCAUCGGUCAAGUGUGGCUCGUCGAGGCUGCCCGCUGUGUUUCGUCGUAG
rnacentral:rRNA from 1 species